AUAGAGGACUCACGUAAAAUGCUGAGUCCAGUCCCGGGUAUGGAGCAGGGCUCGGGAACCUACAGAAAAUACCGAGUCCGGUCCCAGGUAUGGAGCAGAGCUCGGGAACUCACAUAAAAUACUGAGUCCAGUCCCGGGUAUGGAGCAGAGCUCGAGAAUUCACAGAAACUUCCGAGUCCAGUCCCAGGUAUGAAGCAGAGCUCCGGAACUCACAGAAAAUUCCGAGUCCGGUCCCAGGUGUGGAGCAGAGCUCGGGAACUCACAGAAAAUGCUGAGUCCGGUCCCAGGUAUGGAGCAGAGCUCGGGAACUCACAGAAAAUUCCGAGUCCGGUCCCAGGUGUGGAGCAGAGCUCGGGAACUCACAGAAAAUUCCGAGUCCGGUCCCAGGUGUGGAGCAGAGCUCGGGAACUCACAGAAAAUGCUGAGUCCGGUCCCAGGUAUGGAGCAGAGCUCGGGAACUCACAGAAAAUUCCGAGUCCGGUCCCAGGUAUGGAGCAGAGCUCGGGAACUCACAGAAAAUGCCGAGUCCCGUCCCAGGUAUGGAGCAAGGCUCAGGAACUUAUAGAGCUUCUGCUUCCCUUUCCCUUCCCAGCUACAGGCACCCUUUUCCCCCAGCACACACAGGUUGGAAAAGAGUUUAAGAACAGAAUGCCUAGUUGUUAGUAAUUCAUCACGACACCUGACUUAAUUACCAAAGAUUAUUUUAAUGGCCGUGCAUACUACUCUCCUAGAACUUCUGUCCUUCCUCCCCCCUCCCUGGGACCUUGGCAGAACCCUUGCGGCAAAUGUCGUGUUGUGUUGAGGGGGCCUCCCGCGCUGCCUCUGCUGUGGUCACAGCCCUUCCUGGAGGCAUGAGGAAAUGGAGCCGGCCGUGGCUCUGCUGCCGUGGGAAGGGGAGGGGUGCUGUGGCGAGAACAAGCCCAGAGCCUCCUUCAAACAUCAGAGGCCUCCUGACAUCCUCUGCAGGACUCAUCCCAACCUGGAAUCAUCUCCAACUUGUUUAUUUGUAAAACGUGAAGCUUAUGUUGGGCCCUUCCUUAUCCUCUACCCUCUCCCAGAGUCCAUCAGGCAGGGACGCCCAUGCACAGGCAGGAUCGGGACCAUCAAGAUUGUGACAGCAAGAAAAAGAGUGAAAGUGUUCGUGUCACACACUUGAUGUCCAGCAUGAACCUCAGACCUAUCUUGAGCUGAUCAUCUUCAAAAAAAACUUCAUUAAGAAAAAAAAAAAGUGGAGGUUGGAGAGUGUUCUAAAUCUCAAAGCCCAUCAGUUGCUGUUGAGAGCAGAACUUGCAGCAGAGAUGAGCUUUUCCAUGCCUCCUAGGCCCCGGAGCUCGAGCAUGAUGCCCAGGCAGAGGCCUCUCAUGGAGGAGACAGCAGCUUCCAUGGAAGGGUGGGACGUGGUGCUGUCAGGACAGGGUCCUGCAGGAGGGCUCAGGUCCAGCUCCCACGUCAGGUAUCGAUGGGAGAAGGACCUCAAACUCAGAGGAUCCACAGCACUGGCGGAGCCAGAAGGACUUGGCUAACCAUGGGACACAGCCACGCUGCCUAUGAGAAAUGGCAUGGCCUCUUCCAUGGCCAGAGGGCGGGGGGCAGACAGUUCUGUUACUCAGCUGCAGAGGCCGCACAGCCAGGAGCUGGAAGCCACGUGGGGCCAGACAGGGACGCGUUCCGCAUGUGAGGGUGGUGAGCCCCACCAGAUGAGCACAGAGUGGACACCGAGCCACAGGGAGGACGCUGAGCUCGGUUCAUGCAGCAGGCUGUAGGGUUUAUCUACGCGGCCUCACUGGCUGGAAAUACUUGCUUAGAUAAUAAGACAAGGAUGAAAUCAUACAUGGAAAAUGAACAGAACUGCAACAUGCCACACACACCGUGGUUUUAGGGGCCGCUCUCGCUGUUCCUGUGCUGUGUCCCUGGAUGUGAGGCCCGUCCUGUUCAUGGUGCAGUCUCAGAAAACACGAGGGAUGCCACCAUCCCCGUCUCCUAGGCCGACGUCCAGGAAGCUGCAGCUUAGAUGUCAAGGAGGUGAACCUCAAAGCUGGACUCUGGGUUCUCACCAAAAACUGGCCCCCUCGCCUCCAACUCCGAUUUGUGCUGGGUGCUGACCCCACACACGACAGGGUGUGCUUCGCGCCGGGACUGAACAGGGACAGGAGGGACGGUCAGUACUUGACAAGUACGAAGCAUGGCUCUACGCCCCCAGGUGCUUCACAGAGGCAAGAUGGCAUUCACCUCCUGUUAUGCAUCUGGGGAGGGCAGAGCCGUGUUUCAGCCGUGCAAACGCCAGUGUAGGGAGGGAAAACGCAUCUGGUAAAAUCCAGUCCAGGGCCCCUUUCCUACCCUUCCCCUCAGUCCCCUGGAGGGUCCAAGUACCCACUCCAGGGGCCAGCCCACGUGUAUGUGUAUGUAUAUAUAUAUGUGAGUGCAUCUACACAUUGUACACAUAUGCACACUUUGCACACAGACACACACGUAUAACGGUGCUAUUGGCUUUGAACAUUGCUAGGGGCUGAAUUUUGUUUCCCUGACAAAUCGAUAUGCUGAACCCAAUGCCCAGUGUGGCUGUGUUUGAAGUGAGGAUGUAAUGAAGGUAAACUGAGGUAAUGAGAGGGGGACACUGAUCUGAAUGGAUCAGGGUCUUUCAGGAAGAGACACCAGCCUGUCUCCCUGAGGACACAGUGAGCAGGUGGCCAGGAAGAGGCCCUCCCCAGGAGCCAGGUCUGCCCACGCCUUGAUCAGCCUCCAGAACGGUGACUGGGGAUAACUCACUACCUGGAGGUCCAUGUCAUUCUCAUCGCUGUGAUUGCAUUCUUGCCGCAUUGCUGUAAAAACGUUUCCUCUCCCCAACUUCACGAAAACCACGCAGCAAAGAGGGAGAAGAGGAACAGCGCUUGCCGGGAACCUGCUCUGUGCUGGGAACCUGCUCUGUGCCAGGCACAAUCUGAGGGUCUCAGCCCACCUGCGCCACGAAAGGGAGUCAGAAACCCGGGGGCCGCAUUUCAUCCACCCCAACUCCACCCUGCAAAGCACCCUUCUGAAAAUCAACACUCGGGAAAGGUUUACAGGCAUCAGGCGAACAGCAGGUAAAGCCAAAAUAAAAGGAUUGUUGGCAGACAC
rnacentral:lncRNA from 10 species